GCGGCUGUAGCUCAGCUGGAUAGAGUACUUGGCUAUGAACCAAGGGGUCGUGGGUUCGAUUCCUGCCAGCCGCACCA
rnacentral:tRNA from 1 species